UCCUCAGGAGCGUUAAUCAGCGCUUACGGAGCACUGCCUGGGGACAAGGCGCACGGAGAGAGCCGGGCACGCCGCUAUCCCGCCUGGAAAGGCAGAGGGGGGGAGAGAGGAAACAUCCCUUGGAACAUCCCUUGGCUGCUCCAGCGCUCUUUGGAAAAUCCAGUCCCACGUAUGCAGGUAGCCAAUAUGGGAUCAGAAAAAACCCAGGUGAGUUGAC
rnacentral:lncRNA from 12 species